rnacentral:rRNA from 1 species
UACGUAGGGGGCAAGCGUUGUCCGGAAUCAUUGGGCGUAAAGGGCGUGUAGGCGGCCUGGUAAGUCCGCUGUGAAAGUCCAGGGCUCAACCCUGGAAUGCCGGUGGAAACUGUCAGGCUCGAGUCCGGAAGAGGCGAGUGGAAUUCCUGGUGUAGCGGUGAAAUGCGUAGAUAUCGGAAGGAAGACCAGUGGCGAAGGCGGGUCUCUGGACAGUUCCUGACGCUGAGGCACGAAGGCCAGGGGAGCAAACAGG